GCAGAAGUGUUGCUAUGUGACAUCUGAGGCUAGGUCAUAAAGGAAGUUCAGCUCCUUCUUUGAUCUCUUCAUUUUUUUGCUCUUCAAAUGAGGGAAGCACAUUCUGAAGAAGACCAGGCAGAUACAUGGACAGGUUACAUGCAGGUGUUUUCACCCGCAGCUGAGUUCCCAGUUGAUAGCAUUAACAAUACUCAUGACUUGAAUCUGGAAAUAGGAAGAUAAGUCCCAAAUGGAACACCCAACCUCAAGGAGCUUAGGAGGCUGCUAAAGCUGAUGGAAGUGGCAGAGCAAGACAUGUAAGAAGAAGCUACAUAAGUGUUUUUGUUAUGCUUCAGAGACCUCUGAAAUUCUACGGCUAGAGGAGAGAAUACCUGAGUAUGAAAACACAAGAACAAUAUGACCUAAAAUUUGUAUACUAUAAAGACUUUCCUUGGGAUACAUACAACCCAUUCUGCAGACUACUGCCAAUUGAAGGUGGACAGUAUAAUCAUGCAGCAAUUCCAUACAUUUCUCAAAGCUCAUCACGCUUCUAGAGGCUGCCUGUGUUCUUUGGCUUGUGGACCUCCUCCAUCUUCAAAGCAGGAACAACAAACAGAGCCCUCAUGACACAUCUUUCCGAUUAUAGCUGAAAACGUGUUCAGAUUUUCAGGAUUUACGACCAGUACAAAGAAACUAUACUGUGGACCUGAAAAUAGAGGAAAUUGGAGUUUUCAGAAGAUGGUUCAAGAAAACAAAAGGAACUAGAAUUGAGACAGUGAACAGAGCUCUGAGGAGAACACCAAGGACUAGCUGUCACUGCCAGAUCAGCUCCUAGCAACACCAAAGCCUCACUGAUGUUGCCAGACCAGCUCCCAGAUGUUGGAAACGGCUUUGUUCUUUCUUAGUAAAAAUGAACUCCUUAUAUUAUUGAAAUCAGGGGCACCUGGGUGGCUCAGUGGUUGAGCAUCUGCCUUUGGCUCAUGUCGUGAUCCUGGA